UCAGUAAAGCUCAAAAAUAAAAGAAUGUACUUUAAUUUAAUGAUUGUGUUACUAUUGCGACAUCAAACUAGUUCGUUGUAUGCAAAUUUUUACAUUGUGCAGUAAAUAAGCAGAAUUGUUUCUACAUCCAUGUGGUCUACAGGGCUUUUCGGAACAACUUGCCAGGAAAAAAAUAACUUUCAUAUGAAAUUUUACAAAGAAUCAAAAAAUUGUUAACAUACGGAAAUUUUACGAAUCAAAUUAUCAAUAUAUUAUACGAAAAGGUAUAUUAUAUAUAUUGUUUCAAGAUGGUGUUGAAGAGAAAAGUAAAAUGUAAAAAAGUAUCUGGACUCAUCGAGGGAGAAAUAAUGAUACAACAGAUUCUUCGGCAAUUUCGCAGCUUCCUGUAUAGAAUUUUCUUAAAAGCCAGAGAGUAAUGGAAAAUCAGAAUUUUCACAGCAUCGCCUUCACGGAAAUAUUUACAAAAGAUUCUAUCCCCGAUGGCUUGUAGUGUCACGUACUUCAAAGAUAAGGACAAAAGUAAAAAAGGGUAUCUUGAAGGACACAGAAUCCACACAGACUUUUUAGAACUCGGUCUAUUUUUACGGUUAUUUUUCACAUUUUCUGAAUGGAAAUUUAACUUGAAAGUAGGGAUCUCCGAGGGCUAUUUAGUUUGAAAGAAUCUCCUUGAAGCUGAUCUUUAUUAAGCGAGCAUGGCGUGUGCGAUGAUGGUUCGACUUUGAAAUUGCAUCAAUUUAAAUGACCUUCAUAGGGAGAGACCCCGCCUUAUGCCCUCAGCUGCUUCAUUUAAUUAAAGGCUUUUAACUUAUAAUCAAUUAAGGAAUUCCUGGACCUAAAUCGACGACUAAUUUCUGACCAGUGACACUUGGAAAGAAAGGAAAGCAAAAUUCCUUUUUAAAAGAAGGAAAAGUUAUAAAAAAAUAAAACACUUUGAUUAAAAUUGAAAUGAAAUAAUUAAAAGUGAACUAAAAGUAUGUUGCAAAUUAAAAGUGUUUGUGGACAAUUUGUUAGUUUCGAGUCA